rnacentral:tRNA from 1 species
GGAAGCAGAUGGGGUCUGGUGGCUCCCUCGGUCUUCAAAACCGAUGUAAGCUGAGAAAGCUUUGGCAGGUUCGAUUCCUGCCUCUUCCGCCA